rnacentral:rRNA from 1 species
UACAGAGGAUGCAAGCGUUAUCCGGAAUGAUUGGGCGUAAAGCGUCUGUAGGUGGCUUUUUAAGUCCGCCGUCAAAUCCCAGGGCUCAACUCUGGACAGGCGGUGGAAACUACCAAGCUGGAGUACGGUAGGGGCAGAGGGAAUUUCCGGUGGAGCGGUGAAAUGCGUAGAGAUCGGAAAGAACACCAACGGCGAAAGCGCUCUACUGGACCGCAACUGACACUCAGGGACGAAAGCUAGGGGAGCGAAUGGG